CUCAGUUCUCAAGGCCUUUUGGUUAAGAUCAAGUGUAGUAACUGUUCUUAUCAGCUUCUUAUGUUGUUCGGUCAUCACCACAGUGCUAUGGAAUACAGAAGCUUUAAUAGAUUCCUGGAGGUACUUAUAGGAGCUCAGUAAUCCCACUUUCUGGGGUUUCUGAACUCUC
rnacentral:snRNA from 1 species